rnacentral:misc_RNA from 1 species
ACGAGUUAGGGUCCUCUAGGCCCGACCUCCCAACCCUUUGCUUACCGAACCUCUGUUGCUUCGGCGGGCCCGUCUCACGACCGCCGGAGGACCGCCGCAGGGCGUGUCCUCUAGCCCGUGUCCGCUGAUAGCCAACUACAAAACUCUGUAUAAAUCAUGUCUCAUGUCUAAGUCAAUUGAAUUAAAAGCA